GACGAACGCUGGCGGCGCGCUUAACACAUGCAAGUCGAGCGAGAACCGGGCCUUCGGGCCUGGGGAAAGCGGCGAACGGGUGAGUAACACGUGGGCAACCCACCCUUGGUAUCCGGAUAGCCCGAGGAAACUCGGAUUAAUACGGAAUGGCCCAACAGCUCUUCGGGGCGGUUGGAAAAGGUAGCUUCGGCCUCCGACCAAGGACGGGCCCGCGGUGGAUUAGCUUGUUGGUGGGGUAAUGGCCUACCAAGGCGACGAUCCAUAGCUGGUCUGAGAGGACGAUCAGCCACACUGGGACUGAGACACGGCCCAGACUCCUACGGGAGGCAGCAGUGGGGAAUCUUGCGCAAUGGGCGAAAGCCUGACGCAGCCAUGCCGCGUGAAUGAUGAAGGUCUUAGGAUUGUAAAAUUCUUUCAGCGGGGACGAUAAUGACGGUACCCCGCAGAAGAAGCCCCGGCUAACUUCGUGCCAGCAGCCGCAGUAAG
rnacentral:rRNA from 1 species